GACGAACGCUGGCGGCGUGCUUAACACAUGCAAGUCGAACGAGUGUCGAACGGGUGAGUAAUACGUGGGUAACCUGCCCUCCUUUUUGGGAUAAGCCUUGGAAACGGGGUCUAAUACCAAUAAAGGGGGAUGGGCUAGCGGCCUAUCAGCUUGUUGGGGGGGAGAUGGCUACCAAGGCGUGACGGGUAGCCGGCCGAGAGGGUGAACGGCCCGAGUGGGACUGAGAGACGGCCCAGGCUCCUACGGGAGACAGCAGGGAGGAUAUUGGGCAUGGCCGCAAGCCUGACCCAGCCACGCCGCGUGAAGGAAACGGUCUUCGGAUUGUAGACUUCUUUAGACAGGGACGCGGUACCUGUAGAAUAAGCCACGCUAACUACGUGCCAGCAGCCGCGGUAAUUC
rnacentral:rRNA from 1 species